rnacentral:rRNA from 1 species
UACGUAGGGUGCAAGCGUUAAUCGGAAUUACUGGGCGUAAAGCGUGCGCAGGCGGUUUUGUAAGUCUGUCGUGAAAUCCCCGGGCUCAACCUGGGAAUUGCGAUGGAGACUGCAAGGCUAGAAUCUGGCAGAGGGGGGUAGAAUUCCACGUGUAGCAGUGAAAUGCGUAGAGAUGUGGAGGAACACCGAUGGCGCAAGGCCAGCCCCCUGGGUCGAAGAUUGACGC